ACAAGUUUUUUUUUUUUAAGGUUCUUAUAUUAGUUUGCUUCAUUUGAGAAGCCUGGCUACGGAUAAACCAUGUGGAGAUUUGCUGUGCCCAUAGUCUGCCUCUUGACUGGAUUCACUGUUGCCGAGGGACCAGGGAAUUAUGGAGACUGUUACCAUAUUAAUACAAGCAUCAUGAUUGCGAUUGUAGCGGGAGACCUUCUUCUCACCCUCCUCCUCCUCGUCCCUGUUUAUUGCUGCAUCCGUCAAAAAAAUGUCGAAGAGGAAAAUAGAUGAACCAAGGAAUUAUGUUAACAUGAUCGGAAUACAGAAAUAAUAUCCCCUUCUGGUUGGAAGUGCAUUUGUGCCAUCUGCAUCGGAUACCAUCAGACUUGUGCUUCUGCAGAAUUAAAUACCAGGAGGCAGAAACUGGUCCCUGGGAUUGAGGAUCGAAGCCUGGAAUUGCCUCUACAGUGAACUCCCUGAGCCUUCCUCCCUAAGUCUCUCAGAAUCAUCUUGCCUGUCAGAAAUAGUUUGCAAAUUCUCAAGCGCAAUGUUUUCUUCCUUUCUGCCUUCCCUUCUCUUGGCAAAACCCUUCAUCAAGGAAAGCCAAAGAUAUAGCAAUAGCACUUAGACUUAUAUACCGCUUCGCAGUGCUUUAUAACCCUCUCUAAGCGGUUUUACAGA